rnacentral:rRNA from 1 species
AAUGGGCGCAAGCCUGAUCCAGCCAUGCCGCGUGAGUGAAGAAGGCCUUCGGGUUGUAAAGCUCUUUCGGCCGGGAAGAAAUCGCAUUCUCUAACAUAGGAUGUGGAUGACGGUACCGGACUAAGAAGCACCGGCUAACUACGUGCCAGCAGCCGCGGUAAUACGUAGGGUGCGAGCGUUAAUCGGAAUUACUGGGCGUAAAGCGUGCGCAGGCGGUUUUGUAAGACAGAUGUGAAAUCCCCGGGCUCAACCUGGGAACUGCGUUUGUGACUGCAAGGCUAGAGUACGGCAGAGGGGGGUGGAAUUCCACGUGUAGCAGUGAAAUGCGUAGAGAUGUGGAGGAACACCGAUGGCGAAGGCAGCCCCCUGGGCCUGUACUGACGCUCAUGCACGAAAGCGUGGGGAGCAAA